rnacentral:rRNA from 1 species
CUUGGUCAUUUAGAGGAAGUAAAAGUCGUAACAAGGUUUCCGUAGGUGAACCUGCGGAAGGAUCAUUCAUAAUAAGUGUUUUAUGGCACUUUUUAAAUCCAUAUCCACCUUGUGUGCAAUGUCAGUCGAUCUUCUUCAUGGAGAUCGGCCAAACAUCAACCUUAUUUUUUAACUCUUUGUCUGAAAAAUAUUAUGAAUAAACAAUUCAAAAUACAACUUUCAACAACGGAUCUCUUGGCUCUCGCAUCGAUGAAGAACGCAGCGAAAUGCGAUACGUAAUGUGAAUUGCAGAAUUCAGUGAAUCAUCGAAUCUUUGAACGCAUAUUGCGCUCUUUGGUAUUCCGAAGAGCAUGCUUGUUUGAGUAUCAGUAAACACCUCAAAGCUUUUGGAUUUUUUUUGAAAGCUUUGGACUUGAGCAAUCCCAACGCCAAUCUUUUUCAGAUCGGCGGCGGGUUGCUUGAAAUGCAGGUGCAGCUGGACUUUCUCCUGAGCUAAAAGCAUAUUCAUUUAGUCCCGUCAAACGGAUUAUUACUUUUGCUGCAGCUAACAUAAAGGGAGUUUGACCGUAUUGGCUGACUGAUGCAGGAUUUUACAAGGGUCGGCAACGAUUCUUGUUAAACUCGAUCUCAAAUCAAGUAAGACUACCCGCUGAACUUAAGCAUAUCAAUAAGCGGAGGA